rnacentral:tRNA from 1 species
AGAGGAUUAGUUUAACGGCAAAACUAAGGACUCCAAACCCUUCGUUACAGGUUCGAAUCCUGUAUCCUCUGCCA